UCACGAACUCAAAUCCUCUAAUAAAAAAGAAAAGAAAAAGGACGACCACCCAACCCUCCAACAACUCACGAACUCGAAACCGCUCAACCUCCAGCAAUACUCACGAACUCAAACCCUCCAUCAAUACUCUAGAAAUCAAUAUCCUCCAUCAACAAAUUGAUGAAUCGCGAAAUCGUCGGCUAAAGAUUCAGAGACAAUAAUUCAGGCAACCGCAAGAGCCGUCGAAUCAGGCAGUAGAAAAACCUUCAAAAACCUCUUUUGUAUAAAUCAUUGGAUGUUGGUUGUGAUUUGCCUUGAAAGAGGGUGAGCUUUUUUCUUCGAUUUCGUGGUUGAUGGAUCGUUAGACAAUUUGCAUAACCAAAGGCUCCUUGUCUGUGGAAUAUAUGACUCUAAUGAAAAUAUACAAAGGAUCUCGAAGUACAAAGCUAACGUGAAAGGUGGUUAAGCAUUUCACUCCGGAGGCAUAUUCUUAAGAAGUUAUCAAUGAUGUUCGUGAAAGAUGGUGUAGAUUUUUCAUUCAUAAUUAUCUAUAGUUAAUUAAUUUCAAUUUGAUACUUAGUGGACAUAAACUUCUUAAAUUCGUGUCCAGUAUUUUCGAACAUGUAAAAAUACAAAAGUAUUAUGUACGACUUUUAUCAAUUUCGGUGAUUACAUUUUAUUGGCUUGAAUUUUUUUAAUUUAUGCCAUUUAAUGUUGAUUGACUUGAAUUUUUGUUCAAAUAUCUAAUGUGGCCAUUUAGAAAAAUUGUGGCGCGUCUACAGAAUUGUCGGUCCGUUUACGUCACUUCUCAAUUAAAUAGGUGACGCCAUAAAGUACUAUAUGCGUUGCCUUUUAGAAAUAGGUGACACCAUAGAGUACCAUUUAUAUCACCUCAAAUGAAGUAGGCGACACCCUCGAACAAAGGAGGCGAAACCAUAGAGUAUCAUAUGCAUCACCUCAAACAAAGUAGGAGACUCUAAAGAGUACCAUAUGCGUCGCCUCUGACGAAGUAGGCGACACCGUAGAGUACCAUAUGCAUCACCUCAAACUAAGUAGGCGACACCAUAGAGUACCAUAUGCGUCGCCUAAAAGUACAGGCGACACCAUAGAGUACCAUAUGUGUCCCCUCAAAUGAAGUAGGCGACUCAAAAAAGUACCUACAUAUUCAUAGAUUUCCUCUACGGAGUCGCUUCCAACAUAAAAGGCGACACAUAAACCUCUCUACAGUGUCGGGUCACAGGCGACACGUAAAGAGGGUACCUAUAGAAUCGCCCCCUGUGGAGUCGCCCAUGAGGUGACUCUAUAGGUGGUUAAGAGGCGACUCCAAAAGGGUUUUUUGUAGUAGUGUCUGGGGCCCUUUUGAUGAUGCGCCUACACCUGCUUCGGCCAUGCGGGCCUAUUACUUGUCUGGACGGCGGGUGCUGUUCCCGGAGUGUACCGUCCCAUGUGGUAUCUGGGUGAGUGGGUGACUCCUCAGCAUAAUGUGAGAGGUAGGUUCGUCCCUAUGGAUCCUCCGGAGUCUAUGCUGGUGAAGAUUGUUGAUGUUGCCCGGCUUUAUUCGGAUGCCAUGGAGGCUGGGGGCCAGUCCAUUUGUCUCCCAUGGGAGAACUUUGUGGAUAGGAGGAGCCUCUAUGAUGACAUCUUGGCAAGGCUUGCCCCACCUGUUCGUUUUGUGCCGCCGGAGGCGAUCGACCCUGAGGAUGUCCCUUAUGAUGACAGGGUUCUCCGCUAUGUGGACUCAGAUGGGAAGCAGGUGGAGGUUACUGUUCCAAUGGCCUCUCCAUGAUCCUCCGCAUCGGGCAGCGACUGAUGCCCUUCCUGAGCGCCUCGGGCGAGAGUGCGUCGCUGGAUGCUCGUGAUUGAUUUUUUGAAGAGGAAUUGCGUCAAUCUGACCAAGAAGCUUACUGGUAAGGACAUAGAAGAGCGCCGUCGAGGUCGGUGGGACUCCGUGGACAGGGGUCCCCCGGUGGAUACUUCAAGAGAGCAGGCCGGGUGGAGCUUAGGUCAGGGCCCGAGUCCUAGUGCUGGUGCCCGUCAGAGGCAUUCGGGUGUUGAUAGGGGAGCUGUCCCCUCUACCUAUGCUGAGCCUACCUAGAAUUCGUACUCUGUUGGAGGCAUGGGUAGCCAGAUGCCUUUCAUACCUCCCCCUGGUGCCCAUUUAGGAGCGAGUAGCUCCCAGCCUUGGAGCGAAGAGCCUUGGGCUUAUUGGUAUGAGAUGGAGCGGAGGCGCCAGGCCUAUCAUUUCGAGAUGCAGCGCCGGUUUAUGACGACCCCACAGUCUUAUCAGUAUUCCCCCUAUCAGCAGGGAGCUCUGUAACACCUUAAUUAUUCCUUGCUUUUAUAAAAUCAUUUUCCAACUUAAAAUAAAGGAAUUACUAAAGUAUUA